CGGGAUAGCUCAGCUGGUAGAGCAGAGGACUGAAUA
rnacentral:tRNA from 1 species